rnacentral:rRNA from 1 species
GUGAGUAACACGUGGAUAACCUACCUAUAAGACUGGGAUAACUACGGGAAACCGGAGCUAAUACCGGAUAAUAUAUUGAACCGCAUGGUUCAAUAGUGAAAGACGGUUUUGCUGUCACUUAUAGAUGGAUCCGCGCCGCAUUAGCUAGUUGGUAAGGUAACGGCUUACCAAGGCAACGAUGCGUAGCCGACCUGAGAGGGUGAUCGGCCACACUGGAACUGAGACACGGUCCAG